rnacentral:tRNA from 1 species
GGAGAAAUGUCCGAGUGGCUGAAGGAGCACGCUUGGAAAGCGUGUGAUCGGGUAAAACUGGUUCGUGGGUUCGAAUCCCACUUUCUCCG